CUAACAUAGCAUAACUCUCCACUCAUUUAGGUCUUCUUUAAUUUCUAUCAUCAAUGUUUUAUAAUUUUCAGUGCAUUAGUCUUUCAUGUCUUUUGUCAGAUGUAUUCCUCCCUACCUCAUAUUAUAACUGGUAGUUUUUAAGUUUCUAUUCUGAUUGAUCUUGUGCCUUGCAAAUUUGUUAAACUCAUUUAUUAACUCUGGUAGCUUUUUUGUAGAUACCUUUGGAUUUUCUAUAUAGAUAAUCAUGUCAUCUGUGAAUAAAGACAGUUUUACUUCUUCCUUUCUAAUCCGAACAUCUUUUUUCCUCUUUCUUGCUUUAUUGCACUAACUAUAACUUCCAGAAGAAUGUAUGCUGACAGUAGACAUUUUUGCCUUCUCCUGAUCUUAGGGAGAAAGCAUUCAAUCUUUCAUUUAGCCUGUAGGUUUUUCUCAUAAAUGCUCUUUAUCAAGUAGAGGAACUUCACUUCUAUUCUUAGUUUUUUUAGAGGUUUUAUCAGUUUUAUCAAGAAUAAAGGUUGGUUUUCUGAAAUCCUUUUUGUGUUUAUUGAGAUGAUAGCAUAGGUUUUUAUAGAUUGUUAAUAUGGGAAAUUACAUUGAUAAUUUUUGAAAGUUAAACCUACCAUGCAUUCCUGGGAUAAACCCACUUGGCUGUGAUGUAUUAUCCUUUGUGUAUUGUUAGAUAGAAUUUGCUAAUAAUUUUUUAAUUCAUGUACAUGAGGACUAUUGAUAUUGGUCUGUAGUUUUCUUUUUUCAUAAUGUCUGUCUGGUUUUGAGAUCAAGGUAACUCUGCCCCACAAAAUGAUUUGGAAAGUGUUCUCUUCUCAAAUUUUUGGAAGAGUUUAUGUAGAAUUAGUAUUAUUUCCUCCUUAAAUGUUUACUGAAAGUCAUCAGUCAAGUCAUCUGGGCCUGGAGCUUUCUUUGUGGAAAGGUUUUAAAUUGUAAAUUCAAUUUACUCAAUAGUUAUAGGACUACUCAGGAUAUCUAUUUCUUCUUCAGUAAGCUUUGGUAGUUUGUGUCUUUCCAGGAAUUUACCCAUUCCUUCUAAGUUGUUGAAUUUAUUAGCAAAAAGUUGUUCAUUAUCUUCCCUUAUUAUUACUUUAAUGACUGCUGAAUAUAUACUGAUGUCACCUUCUCAUUCUUGAUACUGGCAAUUUUGUCUUCUCUCUUAUUGUCCUGGUCAGUCUGACAAGAGGUUUAUCAAUUUCAUUAAUAAAAAUCUUAGAUAAUUUUUUAAUCAAUAAAUAACCAACUUUGGGAUUAAUUUAUUUUCUCCAUUGUUUUUAUUUUAUAUUUAGCCAAUUUCUCUUCUGGUCCUUACUAUUUCCUCUCUUCUGCUUACUUUGGGUUUAAUUUAUUCUUCUUUUUCUAGUUUCUUAAGGUGGAACUCAAGGCCAUUGAUUAGGAACUUUCUUCUAUUCCAAUAUACAUGUUUAGUGCUGUACAUUUCCCUCUAAGUAUUGUUUUAGCGACAUCUCAUAGAUUUUGAUACAUUGUGUUUUCAUCUUCUUUCACGUAAAAAUACUUUCCAAUUUCCCUUUUGAUUUCUCCUUGGACACAUGGGUUAUAUAAAAGUGUGUUUCAUUGUUUCCAAAUAUUUUCCAGAGCUCUUUCUGUUAUUGAUUUCUAAUUUAAUUCUAUUAUGACAGAACAUACUUUUUGUGACUUAAGUCCCUUUACAUUUAUUGAGACUUGUUUCAUGGCCAGAAUAUGGCCUAUUUUGAUGAAUGUUCUGUGGUGUGUACUUGAACGUCUAUUCUGCUGUUUUUGGGUAGCAUUUUCUACAAAUAUAAGCCAGGUCCAGUUGGUUGAUAGUGUUGUUCAUAUCUUCUAUUUUCUUACACAUUUUUUGUUUACAUGUUUCAUCAGUUAGUAAAAGAAGGUUUUUGAAAUCUCCAACUAUAAUUGUAGAUUCAUCUAUUGCUUCUUGCAGUUCUAUCAUUUUUGCUUCAUGUCUCUGAUUAGGUGCAUAAACAUUAAGAUUGUCAUACCCUUUUAAUUAACUGUUCCCUUUAUCAUUAUGAAAUUACUUUAUUUAACCUGGUAAUAUUCUUUACUGUGAGAUCUACUUUGAGAUUAAUAUAGGCACUGCAGCUUUCCUUUGAUUAGUGUUAGUUAACACAGUAUAUCUUUUUCAUUGUUUUACUUUUAACUCUUGUCUUUAUAUUUAAAGUGGGUUGCAUGUAGGCAGCAUAUAUUUGGGUCUUGCCUUUUCAUCCAAUCUGAUGUCUUUUUAUUGGGAUAUUUAGACCAUGGCUGCUCAAUAUGAUUAUUGGUAUGAUUAGGUUUAUAUCUCUCAUCUUGAUACUCAUUUUCCAUUUAUUCCAUUUUCCUUUAUUCCCUUCUUUCUCCUUUUCUGUCUUCUUUGGGAUUAAUUAAGCAUUGUUCAAUGAUUCCAUUCUAUCUACUUUCUGGCUUCUUAGCUAUAACUCUUAUUGUUUUAGUAGUUAUUUUAAGGUUUACAGUACACAUCUUUAACUUAUCACAGUCUACCUUCAAGUGAUAUUAUAGCAUGUCAAAUAUGUUUAGGAUACUUAUACUUACUUAUAAUAGUAUACUUCUAUUCUCCUCUCUCAGCCUUUUUGCUAUUAUACAGUUUACUUUUACAUAUGUUAUAAACCUCACGGUACAUGGUUAUUAUUUUGUGUCAAGAGCCAAUUAUACUUUAAAGGGAUUAAAAUAAUAAGAGAAAAUAUCAUAUCCGACCUAUGUAGUUACUAUUAUGCUCUUUGAUCCUUUGCAUAGAUCCAUACUUCCAUCUAGUAUCACCUUCAUUCUGUUUGAAGCACAUCCUUUAACAUUUCUUGUACUACAGGCCUGCUAGUGAUGAAUUCUUUAAGCUGUUAUGUCUGAGAAGUCUAUUUUGCUUUUAUUCUUGAAAGAUUAUUUUCUGGGUAUGAACUCUAGGCUGACUACUUUUUUUAAUUUCAUGCUUUGAGGAUAUUGUUCCACUGCCUUCUCACUUGCAUUAUUUUCUAGAGAAAUCUGCUGUAAUCUAUAUCUUUGCUGCUCUGCAUAUAACAGCUUUUCCCCACCCCACGCCUUUCUCUGGCGACUUUUAAGAUUUUCUCUUUAUUAUUUUGGGCAAUUUAAUUAUAAUGUGCCUUAGUGUGGGUUUUUUCCCAUUUUUAUUGUGCUUGCGGGGCAAUGAAAUUCUUGUGUCUGUGGGUGUACCAUGUUCAUCGAAUUUGGAAAUUUGCCAGCCAUUAUUUCUUCAGAUAUUUUUCUGUCCCUUCCUCUCCUCUCUUUCAGAAACCCCAGUUAUACAUAUAUGAGGCCUCUUAAAGUUGUCUCACAACUCAAUGAGAAAGUCUCUGUUUCUUUUUAAAAUUUUUGCUCUUUUUUUAUCUUUUUACUCUCUAUAUUUCUUUUUGGAUAGUUUCUAUUGCUGUCUUCAAGUUAGCUAAUCUUUUGUUCUGCAAUGUCCUCUCUGCUGUUAAUCCUAUCCAGUGUGUUUUUCAUAUUAUACAUUGUAAUUUUCAUCUGUAGUAGUUUGAUUUAUGUCUUUUCUAUAUCCUUCAUGUUGAUGGUAUGUCCAAUCUUUCCUCUAGCUUUUAGAACAUACAGAACAUGAUUAUAAUAAGUGUUUUGAUGACCUUGUCAGCUAAUUUUAACAUCUGUGUCAAUUCUGGAUCAGUCUUAACUGACUGACUUUUCCUUCAUUAUGAUUUGCAUUUUCCUGCUUCACUGCGUGGCUAGUAAUUUUUUACUGGAUGCCAGACUUUGUGAUUUUUGCCAUUUGGGGUGCUGGAUUUGUUUGUAUUCCUAUAAAUAUUCCUGAGCCUUGUUCUGAGAUGUAGUCAACACAUUUAUAAACAGUUUGAUCCUGGCCAGGCAUGGCGACUCAUGCCUCUAAUUCUACCACUUUGGGAAGCUAAGGUGGGAGGAUCACUUGAGCCCAGGAGUUCAAGACCAACCUAGGCACCAUAGUGAGAACCUGUCUACAAAAAAUGGAAAAAUUAGCCAGGCCUGGUGGCAUGUGCAUGUAGUCCCAGCUACUCAGGAGGCUGAAGCAGGAAGAUGGCUUGAACUUGGGAGAUCAAGGCUGUCGUGAGCCAUGAUUACACCACUGCACUCCAGCCUGAGUGACAGAGCAAAACCCUGUCUAAAAAAACAAAAAUGAAACAGUUUCACCCUUUCAAAAGUCUUGCUUUGAUGAUUUGCUAAGCAUGCUUGCAGAAAUUAUCAGUCUAGGACUAAUAAUUUCCUCCUACUGAGGCAAGACUUUCCUGAGUUGUCUACCCAAUUUCCUGUGAAUUACAAGAUUUUCCAGUCUGGCUGGUAAGAGCAGGCACUACUCCUGGCUGUGUGCGUGCUCUAAGUACUGGUAUCACAGGUCCUUUUGGGGGUUCUUUCCCUGACUGUGUAAUUUCCUUGCAUGCAUGUGCUGAUCAUUACUCAACUGAGCACUCAAGUUGGACUUCUGCAUGACUCCAGAGCUCUCUUUCUUUGCAGCUCUCUCCACUCCAUUAGUCUGCCCUGUGAAAUCCAGCCACUUUGAUCUCCCCAGACUCAGCUCAUUCUUUCAACUCGGGGGUUCCAGCAGACUCUGGUGGGCAACCUGUCCCUGCAACGUGGCCAGGAAUCUCUCAAGGCAGUAAGCUGGAGCAGUCCUUGGCCUCACCUUGUUUAUUUCCCAUCAUUCAAUAAUCACUUUCAUGUCUGAUGUCCAAUUGCUUGGAAAUCACUGUUUCAUUUGUUUUGUGCCAUUUUCUUACUUGUUUAAGGUGGGAAGCUAAGUCUGGUCCCUGUUAUUCCAUCUUGGCCAGAAGCCUAGCAGCUCCAUUUCAAGCCCUGAACCCUCCCUCCACAUCGGGCUUCAGAUUCUGCCAGUCCACUACUCAAACAAAUGAGCCGAGUCUUGUGGGGAUGGGGAUUCACAGAGAAGCACCUCUUUGCCAUGCCAGAUGGGAAAACUGAGGCUUAAAAAGGUUACACAACCUCAGCCAAGUCGCACAUGAGCGGUGGAUAAGACCUGACCCCAGGAGGCCUGGCUGCAGAGCUGGGCCCCAGACCUCUCCUGAACGCGGGGCACCACCUCACGUAAACUCUCUGCCACAGCCCCAAUGCUCCAGGGCCCUGCUCCGUGUCACUCACAGAUCUGUUGUACCCCAUUUCCCCCACUGUAAUGUCAUCUCUGUGGGCAGGGAUUUUUGCCUGUUUUGCUCACUGUGUUGUGUACCCUAGUGCCUGGUGUGUGGCAGGAAUUUGUAUUUGUUGGAUGAAUUUGUGGAUGAAUAGAUGAUCAAGGAGGCCAGUAAGUGGCUCAGGUAGCCAGCCCCUCAUCCUGCCCCCUCCCCAAUAUCUCUGUGCCUCCUGCAUGAUGGUGGCACAGGCUGGCCAACGAGCUUCUGCAUGGAAGAUGGGGCAGGCUACUGGGGUGUGUCAUGGUGGGCCAAGCCAGGGGGCCAUGUAGGGUGGUGGAACCAGUCCAGGUAUUCCCUUGGGGAACCAGAGGGUUGAGUCCAAUGGGGCUAUCAGAACCCAUAAGGCCUUGAGAGCCAAGGAAGUGAUGAUUGGUUCAAACAGGAGGGUGGCAAGGCCAGGCCGUCAUGGGGCAGGUCUCUGGAGGGGGCCAGGCUGGAACUGGGCCAGUGAUAUAAUUUGGCUCUAUGUCCCCACCCAAGUCUCAUGUCAAAUUGCAAUCCUCAAUGUUGGAGGAGGGGUCUGGUGGGAGGUGAUUGGAUCAUGCAGGCAGACUUCUCUCUUGCUGUUCUGGUGACGGUGAGUGAGUUCUCAUGAGAUCUGGUUGUUUAGAGGCAUGUGGCACUUCUCCCUUCUCUCUCUCUCUCUCGCUGGCCACAGGAAGAUGUGCCUGCUUCCCCUUCACCUGCUGCCAUGAUUAUAAGCUUCCUGAGGAAAGCUUACUAGCCAUAUUUCCUGUACAGCCUGCAGAAUUGUGAGUCAAUUAAACCUAUUUUCUUAAUAAAUUACCCAGUCUCAGGUAGUUCCUUAUAGCAAUGUGAGAACAGACUAAUAUAGCCGGGCUCCACCCACUGGCUCUGCUGCAGGGCCUGAGUAAACUACUGUCCUCCAGGGACUGGUAACACCAGGGACAAUAAGGAGGCUUAAUCAGGAUCUUCUGACUGCAAGUGACAAAAAGCCAGCCUAAACUAGCUUAGCAAAAAAGGGGACACAAUUCCAGGCCCUGACAGUGGGCCCUGGGGCUUAAACUCCAUGGGACCCUCUUUGCCUCUCCUCUCUGUUUCUCUCAUGGGGUGGACACAGCCAGUAGCAGCUCUGAGGACACAUCCCACAGUGCCUUGGCCAGAGUGAGAGAAGGUAUCACCACCCACUGCCAUCCAAAAACCCAAGAUGGACUCCAACAGGGUCAGCCAGGGCCCCUGCCUACCCCUGGCCAACCCCACAGACAGGGAGGUCUGGUCUUUGGCCUGUCCAGGGUCGUAGUGCUGAAGACUUGAUGGGGUAGGGGGAUGCCACGAGAGCCUCCCCUCGAGUGCUCUGGCAUCUUUCUGCAUUCCACUCCAAGGCCUCUGCCCACACCACUGGGCCUGGAGCGCAUGCUCAAGUGUGAGUGAAAGUCAGUGCCCCCACGCCAACCCUCCACCAAUCUGAACUGAUAAUCCCUGGAGAACUACUGCUGUUUUUCAGAGAUCAGUUCUGGAGCCCUCUGUAUAAUUCUCAGUAGACUGGAGCCCCCAUCCCUACAGCAGGGACUCGAAUGAUGUGCCCUAGGAUCUCAUCCCAAAUAAACUGCCUACACCCACAUGCCAGGCUCAGGCACUACUUUCAUGGAAUGCAAGCUAAGAGACACCACAGAGAGGGGACCUGGGGUUUGGAGAACACGCAGCAAUGACACAGGUGCAUACCACUCCAAAAGGAGCAAGCCAGCCUUUGGCAGGAGGGAGGCCUGUCAAAGGCAUGGGCCCCAGGUGUGGGACUGAACUUCAGGGUUAGGAUUCUGACCUGCCAAGACAAUGAUGCCCUCCCAGUGGCCUGGGGACCCUGUAGAAUCUGCUUCCCCUCCCCAGUCUCCCUCCUCACUCCAUUCCAA